rnacentral:rRNA from 1 species
UACGAAGGGGGCUAGCGUUGCUCGGAAUCACUGGGCGUAAAGGGUGCGUAGGCGGGUCUUAAGUCAGGGGUGAAAUCCUGGAGCUCAACUCCAGAACUGCCUUUGAUACUGAGGAUCUUGAGUUCGGGAGAGGUGAGUGGAACUGCGAGUGUAGAGGUGAAAUUCGUAGAUAUUCGCAAGAACACCAGUGGCGAAGGCGGCUCACUGGACUGGUAUUGACGCUGAGGUGCGAAAGCGUGGGGAGCAAACAGGG